AUGGCGGCGAUUCGGCGUCUGAUCCCGUCCUUCAACCGGGUGCUGGUGGAGAAGGUGGUGCAGCCCAAGAAGAGCGCCGGCGGCAUCCUCCUCCCGGAGACCUCCAAGCAGCUGAACUCUGGUAAGGUCAUAGCUGUUGGCCCUGGCAGCCGUGACAAGGAAGGGAAGCUGAUCCCUGUUGCUCUCAAGGAAGGUGACCAUGUGCUCCUGCCUGAGUAUGGUGGUCUUGAAGUCAAGCUUGCUCCUGAGAAAGAGUACCUCCUCUACAGAGACGAUGACAUUCUGGGCACCCUCCACGAGUGA
rnacentral:rRNA from 1 species